GACGAACGCUGGUGGCGUGCCUAAUACAUGCAAGUCGAGCGGACCAAUAGAAGCUUGCUUCUGUUGGUUAGCGGCGGACGGGUGAGUAACACGUGGGCAACCUGCCUGUAAGACUGGGAUAACUUCGGGAAACCGGAGCUAAUACCGGAUAAUUCAUCCCCUCGCAUGAGGGGAUGCUGAAAGUCGGUUUACGCUGCCACUUACAGAUUGGCCCGCGGCGCAUUAGCUAGUUGGUGAGGUAAUGGCUCACCAAGGCGACGAUGCGUAGCCGACCUGAGAGGAUGAUCGGCCACACUGGGACUGAGACACGGCCAAGACUCCUACGGGAGGCAGCAGUAGGGAAUCUUCCACAAUGGACGAAAGUCUGAUGGAGCAACGCCGCGUGAGCGAUGAAGGCCUUCGGGUCGUAAAGCUCUGUUGUUAGGGAAGAACAAGUAUCGGAGUAACUGCCGGUACCUUGACGGUACCUAACCAGAAAGCCACGGCUAACUACGUGCCAGCCGCCGCCGUAA
rnacentral:rRNA from 1 species